rnacentral:rRNA from 1 species
UAGUCCACGCCCUAAACGAUGCUAACUCGAUAUUUGGAUCUUGAAUCUGAGUGUCUAAGCGAAAGCGAUAAGUUAGCCACCUGGGGAGUACGGCCGCAAGGUUAAAACUCAAAUGAAUUGACGGGGGCCCGCACAAGCGGUGGAGCAUGUGGUUUAAUUCGAUGCAGCGCGAAGAACCUUACCUACACUUGACAUACAGAGAACUUACCAGAGAUGGUUUGGUGCCUUCGGGAACUCUGAUACAGGUGCUGCAUGGCUGUCGUCAGCUCGUGUUGUGAGGUGUUGGGUUAAGUCCCGCAACGAGCGCAACCCCUAUCUUUAGUUGCCAACACGUAAUGGUGGGGACUCUAGAGAGACUGCCGGCGUAAGCCGCGAGGAAGGUGGGGAUGACGUCAAAUCAUCAUGGCCUUUAUGCCCAGGGCUACACACGUGCUACAAUGGCAGGUACAAAGAGUCGCUAAGCCGCGAGGUAGAGCUAAUCUCAGAAAACCUGUA